rnacentral:lncRNA from 1 species
UAUCUGUCAUCAAAACCACAAGGGACCUGGACCACUUCACAUUUGGUUGUUGAAUGAAGCUGUUCUUCGGUUACUAGAACUGCUGCACGACAGCUGAUCAGCUGUACAAUCAACUGAUAGAACCAGGAACAAUCACACGAUAGCAUAAAAUUCAUGAUUUCUUCACAGAGUUCAUCAAUACUUGGUAUGUUGUUUGUAGCUCACUUAGGCCAGAAAAGAAAAAAAAAAAGGAAAAAGUCAGAAUGAAGAACCUCCAUGCCAAGUUGUUCUCCUACACCAUGGCAGCCUGCGAGAAGUUCAGUGGUGUGGCAUUUUAAGAGGCCAAUCUGACUUGGCAAGAGAGCUCUUGGUUUUAUUCAACCCUUUGCUAUCUCACAAAGUUGUUACAUAUAAAGCAGGUUUAGGCAGGAUGCAAACUGAAGGCCAUUAUCCCUAGGAAAGAUUUCACUGAUCAAGAUUUGAAAUUCCUGUAGAUGUUUCUACUUAGUCUCAUUCCAGGAAAGGCACGAGGGCCCUUGCUGGCCUGUUAAGGAACUCAGCUCAGUGAAGUAACCUGUGGGGAAGAUACGGCCAGGGCAAAAGCUAAGGACACUGAUUACUAAUCAAGUGUGUAUGUUUCCAACAAAGAGAAAGAUACCUUUGACAGUUCUUCAAUCAAAGGCUUUCCAUGAAAUGGUAUAUUUCAAGCCAGCAACCAAAGGGAUGCCAAGUGGAAAACCCAAACAAAUUCAACAGAUUGACAUCUCUCCAGCCAUUUCCAUUAGGCUGCUUUUUAACAAGUUCAUUUACACAAGAGCAGAGACCAGAGCACACCCAGCCCCAGAACCAUGGAGCUGCCCUGCAGAAUGGGGUUAGGGUGGGGGAGGCCUGCCUCUCCCAAGGUGUCAAGGUUGAGCAGACAGGCCUGGUCCUUUCUUGGUAUGGAGGCUUUCGUUCAAAAGGACUGGAACUUCUUGCAUUAAACAGCACUCCGGACAGCAGAAAAGUUGUGUAACCCCUCCCCUCCCCACCAUCCUUCCUUGUUCUGGACCAAAACUACUUCCGUCUCUAAGCAUCUACAAGUCCAAGAAGGUCUCCAGACUGGGGAAGAUCCUCUGCUCUAAUAAAUUUGCAAAACUGGGGAACAAAAAAUAUGGCUCCGUUGAACUGGUUCAAGUGUUCUUUAGAUCCAGAAUCUUUGGAAUAAAAAUGAAUAUGAAAAAUGUUUUUGAAGACCCCAGCUUCGUGGGUAAAAAGGAACCAGUCUUACGUGCCUCAGGACAUGUAAAGAGUCGGAUAUGACUGAGUAACUGAGCUGAACUGACGUGCCUCAGGACUUGGAGGGGCAACU